rnacentral:rRNA from 1 species
AUACGGAGGAUCCGAGCGUUAUCCGGAUUUAUUGCGUUUAAAGGGUGCGCAGGCGGCCAUUUAAGUCAGCGGUUAAAUCGUGGGGCUCAACCCCAUUCUGCCGUUGAUACUGGGUGGCUUGAUUGCGGUCGAGGUUGGCGGAAUUCGUUGUGUGGCGGGGAAAUGCAUAGAUAUGACGAAGAACACCGAUUGCGUAGGCAGCUGACCAGACCGCAAAUGACGCUCAUGCACGAAAGUGCGGGGAUCGAACAGGAUUAGAUACCCUGGUAGUCCGCACAGUAAACGAUGAAUACUUGUUUUCGGCGAUAUAAUGUCGGAGGCAAAGCGAAAGCGAUAAGUAUUCCACCUGGGGAGUACGCCGGCAACGGUGAAACUCAAAUGAAUUGACGGGG